rnacentral:rRNA from 1 species
AAAAAUCGUAACAAGGUCUCCGUAGGUGAACCUGCGGAGGGAUCAUUACACAAAUAUGAAGGCGGGCUGGAACCUCUCGGGGUUACAGCCUUGCUGAAUUAUUCACCCUUGUCUUUUGCGUACUUCUUGUUUCCUUGGUGGGUUCGCCCACCACUAGGACAAACAUAAACCUUUUGUAAUUGCAAUCAGCGUCAGUAACAAAUUAAUAAUUACAACUUUCAACAACGGAUCUCUUGGUUCUGGCAUCGAUGAAGAACGCAGCGAAAUGCGAUAAGUAGUGUGAAUUGCAGAAUUCAGUGAAUCAUCGAAUCUUUGAACGCACAUUGCGCCCUUUGGUAUUCCAAAGGGCAUGCCUGUUCGAGCGUCAUUUGUACCCUCAAGCUUUGCUUGGUGUUGGGCGUCUUGUCUCUAGCUUUGCUGGAGACUCGCCUUAAAGUAAUUGGCAGCCGGCCUACUGGUUUCGGAGCGCAGCACAAGUCGCACUCUCUAUCAGCAAAGGUCUAGCAUCCAUUAAGCCUU